ensembl:lncRNA
GUCUCAAAGUGGUGUUGGACUUCUGUGGAUUGAAACUAGAUGGAGCAGGAAACAAACCGUCAAACCUCUCGGCCACAGUACAUGUAAAACCUCCUCUGCGGUCAUGCUACUGAAUGAGUUCUCAAUCAUGCCGACUUUCUAAAACAUGAUUUUUUUAUUUCCACCGCAGCCACUGCGGUUCUGGUUGGAGCAGGGCGUGGCCGGUUUUGUAAUCUGUGAUACAGAUGCAGCGUAUUCAGAAAAGGUAAAAUGAGGGUUCAUUUAUGCCCUUGACAUUUCUCAUGAGCAGCGUUUCCAAUAAAAUAUUUACAUUUCAGACUCUGCUGGAUUGGAGAGGUGUCUUCAGGGAAUUUAGCAGUCAGGAGGAGAAAAGGAUUGUGGUGGUGAGACAAACACAAUACAUCCUGCCUCCUCUGAACAACUCGAGUCAGACCAACAAGAUGCUGGUGGAUGUGGUCAUGAGGUCAAUUCUGCCAUCUUCACAUCACAUCCUGUCUGCCCGGGAAGUGGCCGAUGCCAUAGAGACGCACCUGCAAAUAAGAGAAGAUAUAUGGCCAAGCUGGACAGUUGGAGGUAAAGCGUCUCAUGACUUGAAGAAGUUACUCCUUGUGUUGACGAUGACUCUGCCUGGAUCACCUACAGUCCAGUAUGAUGAAGAAAUCAACCAAACACAGAGUGCAUCUCUAAAUGUGGGCUCAUCAAAUGGAGAGAAGAAUGACUCAUCAGGCACUAAUACAGACAAGGAGAAGGAGAAACGCACAGCUGUAGCUCUCUUUACCUCCCUCAGUCACUCCAGAGCCAGAGAAGAAGCUCUUCUGUACGGCAGCUUCACCUUCCUCCCCUUCAACACCUCCACUAACUCCUCCUCCGCCUCAAACUCCACUCUCGCCUCGCCUUCCUCUCCCCUGAUCCUGGCCUUCCUGCGCUCCUGGGGUUGCGUCCACUUCCUCGUUCUGCUCAACAUCGGGCCUGAGCUGCACACUCUGGAUCCCGCCUGGGCCCCGAGUCUGCCCGCGGCCGGAGUGUUUGUGGCCAGCACAGGGAUGGACCGCCUGGGGUCGACAUCUCUGUACUCGCUGGAACUGCGGCCUCACGAAGCCAUUGUCAUCAAAUUGUUUGAGUCAGGAAGCUACUCGUAG